AACGAACGCUGGCGGCAGGCCUAACACAUGCAAGUCGAGCGAGACCUUCGGGUCUAGCGGCGGACGGGUGAGUAACGCGUGGGAAUAUACCCUUUGGUACGGAAUAGCCUCGGGAAACUGAGAGUAAUACCGUAUGUGCUCUUCGGGGGAAAGAUUUGUCGCCAAAGGAUCGGCCCGCGUUGGAUUAGGUAGUUGGUGGGGUAAUGGCCUACCAAGCCGACGAUCCAUAGCUGGUUUGAGAGGAUGAUCAGCCACACUGGGCCUGAGACACGGCCCAGACUCCUACGGGAGGCUGCAGUGUGGAAUCUUAGACAAUGGGGGAAACCCUGAUCUAGCCAUGCCGCAUGAUCGAUGAAGGCCUUAGGGUUGUAAAGAUCUUUCAGUGGGGAAGAUAAUGACUGUACCCACAGAAGAAGCCCCGGCUAACUUCGUUCCAGCCGCCGCGGUAACAC
rnacentral:rRNA from 1 species